rnacentral:lncRNA from 1 species
UGUUAAAAAGACGAAGACACAAGAAAAAGAUAUAUACAGAGAGAGCAAGUUUUGGUGUGUUGAAGAAACAAUAUGGUUUUUGGAACAUUCCAAAUUGUCUGCUCAGCUGCAUUCGUUGUUUUUAUUAUCAUAUUGAUAGUGGCUAGUCUAUGUUCUAAGUUUCUUGGUAACAGAACACAGGCUGAAACCCCAACUGCGUAACUUUUAUCAUGUAUUCACCUAUUUCUUAUUUUUAAUGAAUUACCAAUUAGUUUUAGUAUGUAGCCUAUAUACGACAGCAUAUCAAUCUAGUUAUUUCGCUAUUUAAAAUGACGUUUUUAUUUAUUAUCGUUUAGGUUUCAUGAUAUAAUUGUAACCCUAUUAUUAUUUACAUUUAAAUGAUAUUUCAUAUUUU